rnacentral:rRNA from 1 species
AACGAACGCUGGCGGCAGGCUUAACACAUGCAAGUCGAGCGCCCCGCAAGGGGAGCGGCAGACGGGUGAGUAACGCGUGGGAAUCUACCCAUCUCUACGGAAUAACGCAUGGAAACGUGUGCUAAUACCGUAUACGUCCUUCGGGAGAAAGAUUUAUCGGAGAUGGAUGAGCCCGCGUUGGAUUAGCUAGUUGGUGGGGUAAAGGCCUACCAAGGCGACGAUCCAUAGCUGGUCUGAGAGGAUGAUCAGCCACACUGGGACUGAGACACGGCCCCGACUCCUACGGGAGGCAGCAGUGGGGAAUAUUGGACAAUGGCGCAAGCCUGAUCCAGCCAUGCCGCGUGAGUGAUGAAGGCCCUAGGGUUGUAAAGCUCUUUCACCGGUGAAGAUAAUGACGGUAACCGGAGAAGAAGCCCCGGCUAACUUCGUGCCAGCCGCCGCAGUAAAAC